rnacentral:rRNA from 1 species
UUGGAGGGCAGUCUGGUGCCAGCAGCCGCGGUAAUUCCAGCUCCAAUAGCGUAUAUUAAGUUGUUGCAGUUAAAAAGCUCGUAGUUGAAUUUCGGGAUUCAUCCGUUGGUCGGGCUUCACGGUCCGCACUGGUGUGAUGGGUUCCUACCUUCUGAAUAACCGGCAUGCCAUUAAUUUGGUGCGCCGGGGAAGCAGAACUAUUACCUUGAAAAAAUUAGAGUGCUUAAAGCAGGCAAGUGCCUGAAUAGGUUAGCAUGGAAUAAUAAAAUAGGACGGCAUGGUUCUAUUUUGUUGGUUUCUAGGAUCACCGUAAUGAUUAAUAGGGAUAGUUGGGGGCAUUAGUAUUCAAUUGUCAGAGGUGAAAUUCUUGGAUUUAUUGAAGACUAACUUCUGCGAAAGCAUUUGCCAAGGAUGUUUUCAUUAAUCAAGAACGAAAGUUAGGGGAUCGAAGACGAUCAGAUACCGUCGUAGUCUUAACCAUAAACUAUGCCGACUAGGGAUCGGACGAUGUUAAUUUUUAAUGACUCGUUCGGCGCCUUACGGGAAAC